CUGUAAGCCUGUGAAGGUGUGCUGUGAGGCAUGCUGGAGGUAUCAGAAGUGCGAAUGCUGACAUAAGUAACGAUAAAGCGGGUGAAAAGCCCGCUCGCCGGAAGACCAAGGGUUCCUGUCCAACGUUAAUCGGGGCAGGGUGAGUCGACCCCUAAGGCGAGGCCGAAAGGCGUAGUCGAUGGGAAACAGGUUAAUAUUCCUGUACUUGGUGUUACUGCGAAGGGGGGACGGAGAAGGCUAUGUUGGCCGGGCGACGGUUGUCCCGGUUUAAGCGUGUAGGCUGGUUUUCCAGGCAAAUCCGGAAAACCAAGGCUGAGGCGUGAUGACGAGGCACUACGGUGCUGAAGCGACAAAUGCCCUGCUUCCAGGAAAAGCCUCUAAGCAUCAGGUAACAUCAAAUCGUACCCCAAACCGACACAGGUGGUCAGGUAGAGAAUACCAAGGCGCUUGAGAGAACUCGGGUGAAGGAACUAGGCAAAAUGGUGCCGUAACUUCGGGAGAAGGCACGCUGAUAUGUAGGUGAAGCGACUUGCUCGUGGAGCUGAAAUCAGUCGAAGAUACCAGCUGGCUGCAACUGUUUAUUAAAAACACAGCACUGUGCAAACACGAAAGUGGACGUAUACGGUGUGACGCCUGCCCGGUGCCGGAAGGUUAAUUGAUGGGGUUAGCGGUAACGCGAAGCUCUUGAUCGAAGCCCCGGUAAACGGCGGCCGUAACUAUAACGGUCCUAAGGUAGCGAAAUUCCUUGUCGGGUAAGUUCCGACCUGCACGAAUGGCGUAAUGAUGGCCAGGCUGUCUCCACCCGAGACUCAGUGAAAUUGAACUCGCUGUGAAGAUGCAGUGUACCCGCGGCAAGACGGAAAGACCCCGUGAACCUUUACUAUAGCUUGACACUGAACAUUGAGCCUUGAUGUGUAGGAUAGGUGGGAGGCUUUGAAGUGUGGACGCCAGUCUGCAUGGAGCCGACCUUGAAAUACCACCCUUUAAUGUUUGAUGUUCUAACGUUGGCCCGUAAUCCGGGUUGCGGACAGUGUCUGGUGGGUAGUUUGACUGGGGCGGUCUCCUCCUAAAGAGUAACGGAGGAGCACGAAGGUUGGCUAAUCCUGGUCGGACAUCAGGAGGUUAGUGCAAUGGCAUAAGCCAGCUUGACUGCGAGCGUGACGGCGCGAGCAGGUGCGAAAGCAGGUCAUAGUGAUCCGGUGGUUCUGAAUGGAAGGGCCAUCGCUCAACGGAUAAAAGGUACUCCGGGGAUAACAGGCUGAUACCGCCCAAGAGUUCAUAUCGACGGCGGUGUUUGGCACCUCGAUGUCGGCUCAUCACAUCCUGGGGCUGAAGUAGGUCCCAAGGGUAUGGCUGUUCGCCAUUUAAAGUGGUACGCGAGCUGGGUUUAGAACGUCGUGAGACAGUUCGGUCCCUAUCUGCCGUGGGCGCUGGAGAACUGAGGGGGGCUGCUCCUAGUACGAGAGGACCGGAGUGGACGCAUCACUGGUGUUCGGGUUGUCAUGCCAAUGGCACUGCCCGGUAGCUAAAUGCGGAAGAGAUAAGUGCUGAAAGCAUCUAAGCACGAAACUUGCCCCGAGAUGAGUUCUCCCUGAGACUUAGAGUCUCCUGAAGGAACGUUGAAGACGACGACGUUGAUAGGCCGGGUGUGUAAGCGCAGCGAUGCGUUGAGCUAACCGGUACUAAUGAACCGUGAGGCUUAACCUUACAACGCCGAAG
rnacentral:rRNA from 1 species